GUGGGGGAUAUUGCACAAUGGGGGAAACCCUGAUGCAGCGACGCCGCGUGAGGGAAGACGGUCCUCUGGAUUGUAAACCUCUGUCUUCGGGGACGAAACGAGACGGUACCCGAGGAGGAAGCCACGGCUAACUACGUGCCAGCAGCCGCGGUAAUACGUAGGUGGCAAGCGUUGUCCGGAAUUACUGGGUGUAAAGGGAGCGUAGGCGGGCAGGCAAGUCAGGCGUGAAAUAUAUCGGCUCAACCGGUAACGGCGCUUGAAACUGCAGGUCUUGAGUGAAGUAGAGGUUGGCGGAAUUCCUAGUGUAGCGGUGAAAUGCGUAGAUAUUAGGAGGAACACCAGUGGCGAAGGCGGCCAACUGGGCUUUUACUGACGCUGAGGCUCGAAAGUGUGGGGAGCAAACAGGA
rnacentral:rRNA from 1 species